rnacentral:rRNA from 1 species
CGUGCCAGCAGCCGCGGUAAUACGUAGGGCGCAAGCGUUAUCCGGAAUUAUUGGGCGUAAAGAGCUCGUAGGCGGUUUGUCGCGUCUGCCGUGAAAGUCCGGGGCUUAACUCCGGAUCUGCGGUGGGUACGGGCAGACUUGAGUGAUGUAGGGGAGACUGGAAUUCCUGGUGUAGCGGUGAAAUGCGCAGAUAUCAGGAGGAACACCGAUGGCGAAGGCAGGUCUCUGGGCAUUAACUGACGCUGAGGAGCGAAAGCAUGGGGAGCGAACAGGAUUAGAUACCCUGGUAGUCCAUGCCGUAAACGUUGGGCACUAGGUGUGGGGGACAUUCCACGUUUUCCGCGCCGUAGCUAACGCAUUAAGUGCCCCGCCUGGGGAGUACGGCCGCAAGGCUAAAACUCAAAGGAAUUGACGGGGGCCCGCACAAGCGGCGGAGCAUGCGGAUUAAUUCGAUGCAACGCGAAGAACCUUACCAAGGCUUGACAUGAACCGGAACGGCGCAGAGAUGUGUCGGCCACUUGUGGCCGGUUUACAGGUGGUGCAUGGUUGUCGUCAGCUCGUGUCGUGAGAUGUUGGGUUAAGUCCCGCAACGAGCGCAACCCUCGUUCCAUGUUGCCAGCGGGUUAUGCCGGGGACUCAUGGGAGACUGCCGGGGUCAACUCGGAGGAAGGUGGGGACGACGUCAAAUCAUCAUGCCCCUUAUGUCUUGGGCUUCACGCAUGCUACAAUGGCCGGUACAAAGGGUUGCGAUGCUGUGAGGUGGAGCUAAUCCCAAAAAGCCGGUCUCAGUUCGGAUUGAGGUCUGCAACUCGACCUCAUGAAGUCGGAGUCGCUAGUAAUCGCAGAUCAGCAACGCUGCGGUGAAUACGUUCCCGGGCCUUGUACACACCGCCCGUC